UUGCUGCUGUGGUCAGUGAUCAUUCCUGGAGUAAUGGCCCCCUAACCCAUUGCCCUGUUCUGCAACUUAUACAUCAUCAUAUUCUCCAAACUACCAUUAUCUGAACAUCUUACCCAAGGCCAUUCCCUGCUUAUCAGGAGGAAGCAGUUGUGAGCACUCAGGGUUUGCUCCAUCCUUCCAGAACACGAACAGGGUGUUUCAUGCAGAUAGUUAACACUGGCUAUUUAAGAUGUGCCUCUCAGUGAACCCCAUAUUUGGAGAGGGUGGGCGGUGGCUGGCCUUAGUCAAGGUGGUGGCUCCUUUGUCACCUGGGUUCUCGAGUGGGUCAAUGAGCACACGUUUUAAGCCAAUGGGAUUUCAGACUUGCUUGUUACUGUACCACGGUGUAACCCAUCCUCACAGAAAUGCCCAAGCAUCUACAUUUAUUGCUCCUUAUAAAAUACCCUGCAUCCAGAAAAACAAGGCUGGAUAAAUGCUCUGUGAUCCCUUUGAAGAAGUGGUGUCUGACCACAGGCUUCUGGGGAGUGAGAUCCACAGUGAAGACACAGGAGAGCUAAGAGAAAUGGAUCUCUGUGGCAGACAAGACAGAUAGCCACAAGGCAGUGUCUAAAUGGGAGUAGGAACAGUUACUCCCAGUUGGUCCUCAUGACCAUCAGCCCAAAAAAUUGGUCUUCUGAGACCAACUCCCACAUCUUCGUCUUGAGCUACAGGAGGUUCAACCAUCCUACAGAGCUGGCCUUCUCCACCCCAAGCCUUUAGUUUCAUUUUUUCUUAAUAUUACAGUCAUUGCUCAUAAAGACCUAAGUUUUGAAUAUUUAAUAGGAAAUAAUUCAAUUCAAACUCACCUACCACUAAGACACAACAUAGCACUGUUACAAAGUAAUUUGUCCAUGUUGCUCUGGCCAACCGUGACCAGCAUCCAAAACCACUGAAGUCACUUAGGAUUCAUCAGAGAUCCAGCCAGUUCCCAGAGGAGGGGACACUUGCAGCUUACUCAGGACUAGCUGUGGUCAACCGCCUUUAUCAGAAGCCAGGUGACUAUAGGAGCUUCACUGUCAUGCCCGCAUUGCUUUUAACUCUCCUCAAAACUCUUCCAUAGUCUGUUAAAACAUAUUGAGCUUCAAAUGGAAACUCCUACACACCUUGUUCUUCCGAUGCCUGGAGCCAAGGUCUGCAAUUUUUGUGAGAAGCCAGCCCCAGCUGACAGGUGCCGACGGUUCUGCAGCGCCCCCUGGUGGUCACGCCUGGCAUUUGCUGCUGGUACAGAAAAUUCGCGGAUUUCUGGGGAAAACCUGGCCCGAAAGUGUCUUCACCUAACAGAUCCUGAGUAGUGAUCCAGUGUCCUUGAAGAGGAGGCCAGAGUCCAGGCUCCUGCAUGACCCACUUCUCCAUUGUGUUUCAUCCAGGUUCAUUCUUGACUCUGCCCACCGAGGCUGGGCAAGUACAGGAUCAAAUCUAGACUCACUAACUCCCCUGAUCUAGGCUGUAUGAUGACUUAAAUAAAGGUCCCAUGAUGGA